UGAGAGGGAGGUGAGAAAGAUGUCUAGGACAGAGAAAGGGAGGUUGCAGUAUUCCACAUUCCAGUGCAAGCACGAGGAGGCGCAGGAGAGGGAGACACUUAAGUCAAACACGUACCACAUUCAUAUCUACUGACACGCCAGCACUGAUUUCAAGGAGAAUAUAUCCAUACCGCAUACAGGAAGAAAAUCAACACCAUGUCAAAGGGCCUCUUUCCUGAGAAAACACGUUAAAUGAAGAUUCAUCAGCUUCAAAAUAUAGACAAGAUGUAUUUAAGUAAUGGAGGGAAAGGCUUGAUGGCUCUCCAAUCUAAAGUGUGUCCAAUAUAUGUAUUUU
rnacentral:lncRNA from 1 species